CCUACGGGAGGCUGCAGUGGGGAAUGUUGGACAAUGGGGGGAACCCUGAUCCAGCCAUGCCGCGUGUGUGAAGAAGGCCCUCGGGUUGUAAAGCACUUUCAGUGAGGAAGAACGCCUGGUGGUUAAUACCCAUCAGGAAAGACAUCACUCACAGAAGAAGCACCGGCUAACUCCGUGCCAGCAGCCGCGGUAAUACGGAGGGUGCGAGCGUUAAUCGGAAUUACUGGGCGUAAAGCGCGCGUAGGUGGCUUGAUAAGCCGGUUGUGAAAGCCCCGGGCUCAACCUGGGAACGGCAUCCGGAACUGUCAAGCUAGAGUGCAGGAGAGGAAGGUAGAAUUCCCGGUGUAGCGGUGAAAUGCGUAGAGAUCGGGAGGAAUACCAGUGGCGAAGGCGGCCUUCUGGACUGACACUGACACUGAGGUGCGAAAGCGUGGGUAGCAAACAGGAUUAGAUACCCGGGUAGUC
rnacentral:rRNA from 1 species